rnacentral:rRNA from 1 species
GACGAACGCUGGCGGCGUGCUUAACACAUGCAAGUCGAACGGAAAGGCCCUGCUUUUGUGGGGUGCUCGAGUGGCGCACGGGUGAGUAACACGUGAGUAACCUGCCCUUGACUUUGGGAUAACUUCAGGAAACUGGGGCUCAUACCGGAUAGGAGCUCCUGCUGCAUGGGGUGGGUUGGAAAAUUUCGGCGGUUGGGGAUGGAAUCGCGGCUUCUCCGCUUGUUGGGGGGGUAGUGGCUUACCAGAGCUUUGAAGGGUAGCCGGCCUGAGAGGGUGACCGGCCACCUGGGGACUGAGAUACGGCCCAGACUCCUACGGGAGGCAGCAGUGGGGAGUAUUGCACAAUGGGCGGAAGCCUGAUGCAGCAACGCCGCGUGCGGGAUGACGGCCUUCGGGUGGUAAACCGCUUUCGCCUGUGACGAAGCGUGAGUGACGGUAAUGGGUAAAGAAGCACCGGCUAACUACGUG